ensembl:lncRNA
AAGACAAAAGAUGCUAAUGCAUAAGUUGUUUUCUCUAAGCGAAAACCUCAGUAUUCCUGUUUCACUGCAGUGUUGGUACUUUGCAAUAAAUGGGUGGGUUGGGGGUUGCAGUUUGGGCACUUGUCUCUAAAAGGGUCAUCUUCCCUGGCUUAGGGCCUGUGGUGACUCUGUGUGUCGUGGUAGAGCAAAGCUUACUCACGGUGGCUGGGAAGCAGAGGGAGGAGGGGCUGGGUCUUGGUAUUCCUUGCCAGGGCCCUGCUUUGGCCCCUGGGCCCCACUACUUCUGGUAAUGCCAUAGCUUGGGCACCGAGCUUUCAGCACAGUGGCCCUUUGGCGGCAUUUAAGAUCCACACCAUCCCAGGCCCUGAAGACCACACUCAUUUUCCCAAGCUGCAGAGUCAGCAUGUGAAGGGCUGGAGGUGCAGCUCAGAGGUAGUCUAGCACGUGUGGGGUCUGGGGUUUCAUCUGCAGCACUGUGAAGAGCAAAAUGAAACAGAGACAGCUGAGCAAGGUGCCGAGCCACUCAGAUUCAAGUUUUGUGUUUUGGCCUCACAGCUGAGAGGUGCUGGUAUUGCUCACCCUCCCCAACCCCUUCCUCCCUGGGCCCGGUUCUGUGCCAAGUGUCCAGGCAGGUCGCGUGUGCGGUAGUGGGGGUGGGGGAACGCUCACAACACAAGGAAAUGUUGGCUAAUAGAAUAUCUUUCCCCUACUCCCUUCUUCCAUUGGAUGUCUAAAUUCUUCUUUUCUUUAUUAGGAGGAAGUUUUAUUUCACAGCACAAUUAAACACAAACAACAGAUGGGACCCUCCAAAUCUUUCAUUCCAAGCACUCUAUUUCAGCUCACAGUGGUGCUCUGUCCCCACGUCCUUUCUGUGGGAGGACACUGGGGGACUUUCCUACUGCACACCCCCUUUGUACACACUGUGCACAGUGUUCUAACACUCUUCAUGUUGACAGCUUUGGACGAUGUUUACAUUUCCUUCUUUGAAAAUGUCCUCUUUGCACUUCGCCAGUUGGACAGACCUGCCGUUUCUGCCUUCCUUAGUGGUUGUCCUAGCCUGAACAACGGCUGCUUUCUCCUGGAAAUGAUUCUAUUCAGGGCCCUUUUAGAAUUCUUGAAGGCGUUUCCAUUGACUCAGCCAGUUUCCACAUCCUCUGCCAGUGGUAUUCAGGGAUCAACCUCAGAUGUCCAGCAGCCACUCUGGUUUUGGAUAUGCCAAACAGUAAACCCAGGGUGGACAUCAUUCUUCCUGCUGCUCUGGUCUCUUUCCCACCACCUCUACUUUUCCAGCCUCAUCAGCUAUUUUUUUUGUUUUUUUGGUACCGGGGAUCGAACUUGGGUCCUUGUGCUUGCAAAGCAGGUGGUGAAACCACUGAGCUAAAUCCCGGCCCCUAAUCAUCAGCUAUUCUUGACUCAGUUCCCAGCCUUCUUAAACCUUACCCAGGUCUGGGAAUUAGAUUUGAAAUACAACCUGCAAAACCAUCUACAGAGGUUCUUGUUAAAGGAUAACCUAUGCAGAAUUCAAAUAUAAAUAUCAAACCCUCAAAGCUUAGACACAAAACCCCACAGGAUUCUUGGUGAAACCCUAGCACUGAAUGCAGCCCUGAGUCUUGGGCUCUGAGCCCCAGCACCUGGCCACAUUCUUGGAGGGGUACAGAGUCCUGGACUCCACCUCUGCUUGGGCCCUGGAAGGACCAUAUGGACUACUAGGUCCCAACUUCCUCUGCAACAGGAAGGUGCUCAGGACCCAGGGCUCCAACUCAGAUCCUCUACUUCCAAAUACGACAACUUCAGUAGGCUCUGCUCAUCUUUCCUAACCUCUGAUGCAAUGCUCAAAUCUACUGCCCAUCACAGGUACUCUCUGGGAGCACUAGGCUGGUGAAGCCUUCCCUGAAGGACUUGAGAAUUCUCAGGUGGGGCUGGAAACCUGGACUUUAACAAAAUCUUUGGAAUCUCCCCAUUUGCUCACCCUUUCCUUAUCCCUCAGAGUGUUUCUUGCAUCUGCUAUGACCUUUUCCAUAUUUGCAGGCAUGGAAGCCUCACAUUAUGCCAGGAAGGAUUUCCUAAAGGGGAAGGUUAAUGACUGUCACCAGCAAUGGAUGGGCAGAGACUCCUAUGGAACCAGCAGGGUUUGGAGCAAGGUGACCCUGAAUCAACAGCAGGCCUGUUCUCUUCCUGCUAGGUCUUACUGUGGUCUUCCUGGGAGAACGCCAUCUCUGCUGGGGAAGCAGACACUGCUCAGGGAAGCAGGGUGCUGGCAGGAUGCUCAGCAGGGACAUCUGCAUGUGGAGUGAGGGCCCAAGGAUGUGCUAAGUGUGGUGAGCAGCUCUAGCUGAUAAUCACAGUAGGACCAGCUUGGCUCCAAAACUCCUGAUUGUUUACAGAAGUACACCAGAAGAACCACAGACUGAAAAUUUGUUUUGGUGGAAAAUUUGAGAAGAAAUCUCAGAGUAGCUUUUCACAAGCCUCAAGGGUGGAAGCCAAACUAGGGAGCCAGCAUUGCACACAAAUGCUCACAGAUGACGUUCAGGCAAAGCCAGUGUCUCCAGUUGUGUCUCACUAUGAAAAGAACAGAUUCUUAUUGACUUAAAUGUGCUCAGGAAGAGUUUCUAAAUUGGGGAAAUAUAGGGAGAAAAAGUAAAUGUAAAUGUUUCAAUUUUGUUUAAAAAGCAUAUUUUAUCAAUAAAACAUAAAAAGAAUCAGCACUGUUUUAACUAAAAAGCGAUUAAAAUCAUGAUUUCGCUUCAUCAUUUCAUGCAGUUUCAUGUAAUUGAGUCCUGUUUUUCACAAACUUGGUAGGUGACCUUCACUCCGCCCUCAGCUACUGGGAGCUGUACUGGCUGGAGUUCUCCCUUCCAUCCGAGCCUCCUGGAAGACACUGCCGCUGCUCAAACUACUCUCCUGGGAGACACCAGGGUCAAGCAGCUUUACAGGUGGGUGGCAAGAUCUAAAAUAGCCCUGGUUAAAGAUCUGAUGAGAAUUGUGAUCUCUGCAAAUAUCAUAAUUUUAACUUAAGAAUGGGAAUUAUGCCCAACAACAGUAUUCUGAGUCACAACGGAUCUUAGAAAUUUCAUACAGUGUUUUGGAAUGUAUAUUAACAAUAUAUUCAUAUGAAUAUAACUCAAAGGUUAUGCACCAUUUCUUAUUUGUUAAUACUUUUCAUAUAGUUUUUUGGGGUUUUUUUGGUACCAGGUAUUGAACUCAGGACCUUGCGCCUGUGAGGCAGGUGCAGUGCCGCGCUAAGCCACAUCCCAAACCCUUUCCAUAUAGUUCAAUAAAUGAAAAUAAAUCUAAAAUGUCUCUUGGACUUCCAAGGACUGGCUCUCUGGAAACCCCAAGGUUAGCUCAGGAUAAAAAUGUUUUAUUUAUUUAUUUACUCCUUCAUUUAUAUUGAGACAGGGUCUCACUAUGUAGUUCAGGCUGUCCUCAAACUCACUAUGUAGCCCAGGCUUACUAGGUAGCCCAGGCUGGCCUCAAAUUCACAUCAAUUCUCCUGACUCAGUCUCCUGAGUGCUGGGAUUACAGACUAUGCUUGGCUAAGAUUUAAUUUUAGAAUUUGAUUUUGGGAGGCUUUUAAAAAUAUCGAAUAACAAUUAAAAAUAAGAUCUCAGGUUAUUACUCCAAAAUGACAAAAGAUUUCCCAGGCAUGAAGGACAGAAAUUAUCACAGAGUCUUUGUUUUCCAGGCCAGCUGUUGACAAGGGAAAGCCAAGCCUCUGAGAGUCCCCAGGGAGGGCCGAUCAGCCUCCCAGGAAACUGCCUGCCCAUGCAGGGUGCAGUUGGGUGACUCCAGGACACCUUCAGUAUUAGUGCUCAAUUAAAAAUACAACUAAAGGGCUGAAGAUUUAGCCUUGCAAACGCCAAGGUCCUGAGUUUGAUCCCCAGUACCGCAAAAAAAACAAAAACAAAAACAAAAACAAAAAAACUAAGAAGUAAAAGCACUUCUAAUUUUAGUUAACUUGAUCCCACAUACAAAUUUUCUUGGCGAAAUUCAUCCUCCACAAAACCACUUUCUUAGUCAACAAAAACAUGUCUUAGUCAACAGCCUCCUUCAAAGAGCCUCCUCUCCCAGUGUUCUUUCUAGUUUUAAUCCCUGUAUGGGUGAGAAUAGGAAUCCUUGGUAAUUAUGAACCAGUAUUCUGUACACUAACACCGUUUCCUUGUUUCUAGACAUGUUUUUCAUGCUCAUCAAUAGGCCCCCAAUAUGUUGAUUCUUUAUUCCACAUAAAACAUGACACUGAAAUUAUUUAAACUUUAACCUCAUGCUUAAUAAUUGUUUCAGCAAUCCAACUUAUUUAGAAAUGACCCAGGUUACCUAAUGAAUACCUACUCCUUACUUUACAGAACACGUCCUUAAGACUUUUUGUUACCAAAAAGAUUUUUGAACCUAUUGAGUUCUUUUAUAAAUAUUUAUUCCUUUUGCAUUCGCCUAAUUUACUCGUUUUUAUGUCUGAACUGCUGAUGGAAAUUUUAGUUGAACAGGAUGUGAGCUAGAAAUGUGGAAUCAGAGUUCAUCCAAAAGACUUGAAUUUUUAGACCCAAUAAGGACACUAAGAGAGAAGGCAAAACAGCUACAACCAACCAACCAACCAAGCAAGCAACCAAUUUACCAAGAGGAAUAAAAAAAACAGAGGGUCAAACAGCUCUAAAACAGGAAGAGGUGAGGCACUGGGGAGACAGACACUCAGCUGAUAGUCAUGUGUUAAUGUUACAGGCCAAUUUUUUCUUUUUUUUUUUUUUUGAGACAGGAUCAUGCUAUGUGGUUUAGGCUGGCCUUGAACUCAAGGUAAUCCUUGUGCUUCGGUCUCUUGAAUGCUGGGAUUAUAGGAAUGUGCCACUUCACUCAGCUAUUCCCAAAUAUUUUGACACCAGUAAGAAUGUUACAGAAAAGAUAAAGUAAAGAGGAGCUUUAGGAAAUUAGGAGAAAAUGUUGUGGUUAUUUCCAUGGAAACAGAAUGUGCAAUGUGCUUAUCUUUAAAUUUUCUUGUGCUAGCCAGGAGGAACUAUGGGUAAAGAGUAAAACAUAUAUGGUUACUUAGAGCUCAGUUUAUCAAUGGUUCAAGAAGAAGGGUCUUGUUGGAAAAAGGCAAACCAAAGGCAGAUGCCCCUGCUUGGAAUAUAGGACUGUGCACACCCCCUGGAGAGACCCCAUCUCCUCCCUGGGGAGCUGACUCUCAUCUAAGAGCUCUGACAAUCACCCCACCUUUCUGUCUGAGUGCUGUCUCUGGCCCACUUAUGUUCAGAGCACAGCUAGUUAGGGAUCCCCAGGGGCACCCCCAGCAUGGGAAUGGACACUUGUGUUCAGUGGGAAAUGUCUUCCACAACUGGAAAAGAUACAGGAGCUUUUAGUGAA